UAAGGGUCUCUGCUCAACUUUUAAGCAGUACUGUUGCAUACUUUAAGGUUUAGUCCAAACCUGCCUUCCAUUUGUACUGUUCUUGUGCUGAGAGUAACUGGGCUCUAUCUUCUGCCUGACCACUUUUCAAAUAUUGGCCAUUAUCUUUGUUCUCCCUGCU